GUCGUCAAUAAUCUAAAAUUAUAAAGUUGUCUUCAAUUUGAUGCUACACUUGUGGGUUCCACAGAGUAUUCAAAAGUCGUGGGUACAGCAUCCUUCUUAAGGCGAAGCCGUCCUGCUGUCCAUCCUACUGAUUGCAUCGCUUCAAAAUUUUGCACGAAACACGAACUCUCGAAAUGUUGCGAGAGCAAUUUUGAGCUCAUUGUUGGCUUCCAAUUUUUGCGUCGGAUUUUUUCAAUCCAAAUAUCUCGCAUGUGCUUGUUUCGGAAACCAAAAAGAAUCCUUUUGCUGCGUUUGGUGGUUCUUAGAAGAACUGUUUGUACAAUUAAAUGCGGCACAAUAAACCAAAUUUUCAAUGCUAAA